AUGGACGCGGAACAAUGUAGUUCACCAAACCAACACCGCACAGACGCGCAGAGCCAGCCGAGUCGCACUCGCACACUCCACACACACACACGCGCGCGCCGCAACAACAACAAACCUCCCUCCGUCCGUCCCCUUCCUCGCGUCGGGGGUGGGUGGAACGUGCGCCGAACCAGCAGCAGCAGCCCCCGCCCCCGCUCCCCCCUUUUAUACCACCACGCCGCCAGUUCACACCAAAGCUUCUCUUCCUCCCUUCCCCCUUCGUCUUCCGGCUGGAUCACGCGCGCAGUCAGGAGGGCCGGGCGCUUGUGGAAUGGAAGAUCCGCUCUUUUUAGCCACUUGUGGUCAGUGAGCGGUUUGGUGGUGGUAGUUGGCCUCGCUUUCUUGGAGGGUUGCACCAGCGCGUGCGGGCGGGAGGGAGGGAGAAGGGCCAAGGCGUUGCUGCUUUUGUCGGCCGCCAUGGACUCCGGCAACAGCGGCAGCCUCCAGUCGUCCAGCGGCGGCGACGACGACUUCGACUCGCGGGGCGGCGGCGUCGACUCCUCGCCGCUCUCCGCGCUGCUCCGGCCCACGCCCUCGCCCUCCGCGGCCGGGGCCUUCUCGAUGCACGGAUCGCUCUACGGCCUUCAGGAUUUCACCUCCGCCCCGCCGCAGCAGCAGCAGCAGCAACAGCACCACCAGCAACACCAGCACCAGCAGCAGGCGUCCUGGUCGGCGCAGUUCAUGGCGGGGCCGGCUUCCUCGUCCACGCGUGUCGGGCCGCCCGACGCGGGCAUGGGCGGCGCGAGCGCGCAUCAGGCGCCUGAUCCGUCGGCCGCGGCUGCGACGGCGCCGCCGAGGGGGUCGCGGAAGCGGGCGCGCGCGUCGCGGCGUGCCCCCACGACGGUGCUCACCACCGACACCUCAAACUUCCGCGCCAUGGUGCAGGAGUUCACCGGCAUCCCUAACCCGCCCUUCGCUGCCGGCGCAGGGGGGCCCGGUGGGUCUUUCAACUCCCGCUUCGACCACAUCUUCUCGUCCUCCGCCCUCCGCUCCGCCGCCGGUGCGGCCGGCGAUCCAGCCUCGUCGCUGCCGCCGUACCUCCUCCGUCCUUUCGCGCAGAAGCUCCAGACGGCACCUUCGCCUUUCGCGCCCUUCACGUCGCCGUCCUCGUCAACACCUCCGUCGUCCAACAUGGGCAUCGCCAAUGCCAAUGCCAGGGCGGCGGCCACGGCCGCCGCCACCACAACAGCGUCUGCCAAUCAGCGCGGCGUCGCCGGCGAUGACUUCCAGCUGACGUCCUCGGCGCUUCUGCGGAUGCAGGACCACAGCAGCAACUACCUGUCGUUCCAGAACCUCCUCGGCUCCACGCAGCCUUCGUCGCAGCACAUGUUCGGCGGCAUGUCGCAUGGUGCAUCGAGGCUGCACGAGCAAUCGCCGUCGGAGUUCAUGCCAGGCGCCGGCAGCGGCAGCAUGGGGCUCACCCACGGUGGGAUGAUGGUCUCGGAGGGGAUGCACAUGCACCAGCAACAAAGAAGCGACGUCCACCAGGGCGGCGACGAGCUGUCGGGCGUGGUCCGGGCCGGCGCGUCCGGGAGCGGCGGCGGCAGCUGCAAGCUGAACUACCCGCCCCACACCGGCGCGCCAUCGUCGUCCGCCGCAGCCAGCACCGACAUGCCACCGGACGGCGCCUCCCGGAGCAGCCGCGGCGAGGGCCUAGACCCAUGGCUUUGUACAUCCGAGUAG
rnacentral:rRNA from 1 species